GGCGCCUUAGGAUGGAUCUGCGGCCCGAUUAGGUCGUUGUUGGGGUAACGGCCCAACAAGCCGAUAAUCGGUACGGGUUGUGGGAGCAAGAGCCCGGAGUUGGAUUCUGAGACACGAAUCCAGGCCCUACGGGGCGCAGCAGGCGCGAAAACUUUACAAUGCGGGCAACCGUGAUAAGGGAACCUCGAGUGCCUGUACAUGCAGGCUGUCUGGGUGUCUAAAACACACCCAAAGAAAGGGCCGGGCAAGACCGGUGCCAGCCGCCGCGGUAAUACCGGCGGCUCGAGUGGUGGCCACUUUUAUUGGGCUUAAAGCGUUCGUAGCUGGGUUGUUAAGUCUCUUGGGAAAUCUGGCAGCUUAACUGUCAGGCGUCUAAGAGAUACUGGCAAUCUAGGAACCGGGAGAGGUGAGGGGUACUUCGGGGGUAGGAGUGAAAUCCUGUAAUCCUCGAGGGACCACCUGUGGCGAAGGCGCCUCACCAGAACGGCUUCGACAGUGAGGGACGAAAGCUGGGGGAGCAAACCGGAUUAGAUACCCGGGUAGUCCCAGCCGUAAACGAUGCGCGUUAGGUAUGUCGAUGACCACGAGUCAUCGAGGUGCCGAAGGGAAACCGUGAAACGCGCCGCCUGGGAAGUACGGUCGCAAGGCUGAAACUUAAAGGAAUUGGCGGGGGAG
rnacentral:rRNA from 1 species